GACGUAGGUGGCGAGCGUUGUUCGGAAUCACUGGGCGUAAAGCGCACGUAGGCGGAUUGCUAAGUCAGGGGUGAAAUCCUGGAGCUCAACUCCAGAACUGCCUUUGAUACUGGCGAUCUCGAGUCCGGGAGAGGUGAGUGGAACUGCGAGUGUAGAGGUGAAAUUCGUAGAUAUUCGCAAGAACACCAGUGGCGAAGGCGGCUCACUGGCCCGGUACUGACGCUGAGGUGCGAAAGCGUGGGGAGCAAACAGG
rnacentral:rRNA from 1 species